rnacentral:lncRNA from 1 species
AUGACAACGGAAUUCCUUGAUAAUGGAAGUUCUAUUUCUGGUACUUUCUCACUUUCUCACCAUGGAGUUGCUGACACCCUAUUCUACUGGCAUUUGUAUGGUGUAUGUGUUCGAUUAUCAGUCAAGCUUAAGGCUCAGGUGGCAGAGCACCCCACUGGAUCUCAGCGCUCCGAACCAUUGACAGAGCAAGCCAGGAUACUGUCGUGAAUGCUGAUCCUUAUUAUUACCAGAGUGAAAAGAAGCUGUAGAGGUAGGUGUGUAAGAAGCAUAAGAAGUAUUUUACCUGGUAAAAGGGUUCUCAGUUUACUGCCUGAUGAUCUAUCGGUACUCUCCUAAAACCUCAUCUUCAAACAUCCUUCUCUUGGCAGCCUGUAGAGAUGCUAUUGUGAGAUAGAUGAGCUAAAAUGCAUGCUACUGCUGUUUGUACUGCAGUCCUCCAGAUCCCAUGCCAAUAGCAAAGUAGUACAAUAUCACAAAUUUGUGUUGUCACUUUUUCCUCAGGUGGAUUUUACUGGCUUGGGGCUGGCUGGGGGUGUGGGUCUGUAAAGGUUCUAAGUACAAAAGGGAACAAAAAUGAAGGUCAGCUACUCAAUGCAUAAUAGCUGUGGUAGAAACAACUGCUGUCAGGUCACUGGAGCUGUACUCACUAUUGUCUACAGCUAUCUUGAAAAUUCAGUUUGAGAGAGAUAUUCCUACAAUGUCCCCUCCCAAAAUGUUGCUAGUUUUUAGAAACCAGCUGCCAAGCUAUUCAUCUCUAUUUCAUUUGGCAAUUUAUGUCUAGAACUUAAUAGAAGUUUUAGCUAGUGCUUAUUCUGCAUCUUUUCAUUGCAGUUUUGAAUAAUUAACUGCCACAAUGGGAUUUUCAAUUGUGGAUGCUGUUUAUAUAUUUGUGUGCUUUAAUGACCAGAAGAAGGUCUCGUUUUCUGAGGUGACUUGGCUGUACUCCAGUAGUGGCUUCUGUGUACAGCACAUGUUGAAAAUGGCAUCAGGAGGUGAGAUCUUUCGAGCAUUAUAAUAUUUUGUGGGUUCUACUAUGCUGUAUUGUAGAAAUCUAGUUUAAUUUUUAGGCGAGGCUGCCAAAUACACUUGGUUCUGAACAAGGUAUUGUCCUUUAUUAGGGAACUGCAGAAUUAAAUCCUGAAUUUUUAUUAGCUAUUCUGUUUAUGUAUUUAUGGGCUGAAGUUAAGAAACACUUUGGUGGUUUUAGGUGUGACGGAGAGCUGUGACUGGAAAAGGCAUAGCUAAAUGCAGAUUACAUUGAAGGUGAAUCUAGAAUCACUAAGUGAAUCUAGUGAAGAGAAUCUGAUUUUUUACUCUGUUGCAGGGUGGUACUAGGCCUGAGGGUUUAUAGUUAUGUUGAUUGUGUGACAUGCAGAGCUACAAAACUACACGUUUGCUCUUCAGUUAAAAAAAAAAAAAAAAGAAAAAAAAAGAGAGAGAAAAUAUAUACAUAACCAAGGAAGUUAAGCAGUGAUCUGGCAAAAUAAACUUCUCCUAAAAACCA